rnacentral:rRNA from 1 species
UUUAAAGAGAGUUUGAUCCUGGCUCAGGACGAACGCUGGCGGCGUGCCUAAUACAUGCAAGUCGAACGAACGGAGGAAGAGCUUGCUCUUCCAAAGUUAGUGGCGGACGGGUGAGUAACACGUGGGCAACCUGCCUGUAAGUUGGGGAUAACUCCGGGAAACCGGGGCUAAUACCGAAUGAUAAAGUGUGGCGCAUGCCAUGCUUUUGAAAGAUGGUUUCGGCUAUCGCUUACAGAUGGGCCCGCGGUGCAUUAGCUAGUUGGUAGGGUAAUGGCCUACCAAGGCAACGAUGCAUAGCCGACCUGAGAGGGUGAUCGG